rnacentral:rRNA from 1 species
UACGUAGGGGGCUAGCGUUGUCCGGAAUCAUUGGGCGUAAAGAGCGCGUAGGCGGCCCGGUAAGUCUGCUGUAAAAGUCAAAGGCUUAACCUUUGAAAGUCAGUGGAUACUGCCGGGCUAGAGUCCGGAAGAGGCGAGUGGAACUCCUGGUGUAGCGGUGGAAUGCGCAGAUAUCAGGAAGAACACCAACGGCGAAGGCAGCUCGCUGGGACGGAACUGACGCUGAGGCGCGAAAGCGUGGGGAGCAAACAGGG